UACGUAGGGUGCGAGCGUUGUCCGGAAUUAUUGGGCGUAAAGGGCUCGUAGGCGGUUUGUCGCGUCGGGAGUGAAAACACACAGCUUAACUGUGUGCUUGCUUCCGAUACGGGCAGACUAGAGGUAUGCAGGGGAGAACGGAAUUCCUGGUGUAGCGGUGAAAUGCGCAGAUAUCAGGAGGAACACCGGUGGCGAAGGCGGGUCUCUGGGCAGUAACUGACGCUGAGGAGCGAAAGCGUGGGGAGCGAACAGG
rnacentral:rRNA from 1 species